rnacentral:lncRNA from 1 species
UGGGCUUAUUGACUGUUGGGUUAUAUCUAGUCUGUGAAUCAUCUCUUUAAGAUUUGAUGACUAAGCUGUCCUUUGUGGGUCAAAGAGAUAAGGACCACUGAGAUACUUACUGUAGCACACAUAUGAUGUGUAUGGUCCAUUUGAUAAGCCAGACUAGGAGGUUAUCACUACUUCAUCACCUUUACUGAUGAACAGUCAUAGUAUAGGUA